UAAGAAGCCCACCCACCUUUAGGUGUCCCUUGAGCCAGCGAGCGUGGGGAAUGCGUAGAUGUGUGGAAGGAGAGCUCCCCACUCAGGGCACCCAGCCGCCUCUCCCACCCGGAGACUUUUUCUGUGACUUGGCCGCCGACCCUGGCGCAUGGACAACCCCAGAGCAAUAGGAGCGGCUCCAGGGAGAGGCCAUGCUUUCCAGGUCUUCUCCGGCACUCCCCACAAAGCCAGCGACUCCAAUUAUGACUCCUGAGCUGAGAGGCCUGCCAAGGUCAUCCCACGGGGGCUGCUGGCCGCCUUUUGUACCCGGUGACUGGCGGCUGGACGCGGAUCCCCUUCCCUCGCCCCAGAAUGACGUCUGAAAAUGGACCUCUUAGGGCGAGCGCGGACGGGGCCAGAUGCCAAGGCGGUCCCGGCCCGGUGACUUCAGCACUGCGAGCCCUGGGCCUGGGGGCCCCGAGUAUUUUGAGGGGCCCAGGAAAAUGGUUUAAUUUUUUUCGUAUAAAAAUACCCGGUAAUUUUUGGGUCGAAGAAAAUGUGUUAAUGUCUAUCAAUAUAUUCAUCUUCAUACCAAUGGAGUGGUAAAACAAAAUUUUUAAUAAGUUUCUCACGAAGAAGGAGUCUGCCUUAGGCCCACGGAAGUCACCACGUGGCCUGGGACUGAGGAGGCUUCAGGAGCGACCUAAAAUGUUAGGAUUGCUCUAAAUGAGGAGGCAGAGAAAGGGCGGCCUUGAACCCGGGAGGGAGCAAGGGAUGGAGCUGCGCCCUGGGUGGCAAGACAUGGCAAGCCAGGCAGCUGGGACCUAGAGAAGGCUCGGCCGCGCCGCAGGAUCCCAGGCUGUGGGCCUGAAUGGUGACCACGCGGAGUCGGAGUCAGCUCGCGUCCGCGCCGUCCCAGCUCCCCGCCUGAACCCGGCGCCCCUCCGCGAGGAAAGGCCGGCCCUGGCCCUUUCUGGGCAGUGAGGGGGGUCAGGCCGACCCGGGGAAGAGGCCGAGCAGUCAGCGCCCCUCCUUCCCCUCGGGCGGGGCAUAAGUGGCCGCCCUCUCCGCGGCUGCUGUUGGGCUUCUGAAGACGCAGCGGGUGUCUCUGAUCCCCUAAUCCAUUUAUCCAGAGUCCCGAGCGCAAUGGCUGGUGCGGGGACACAACGGCAGGAGGUGGCGGGGGUGGAGGGAGACCGGGCACUCAGCUAGCGCCACCCUCCUCCCGCCCCACCCGAGACGCUGAGCCACGACCCACCCUCCACGGGUCCCACGCCCUCAGGCAGAACGCAAUGGUGGGAAUGACGCCAAGGUCGGUGAAAUCUUCCAAAUUGAAGGGCUUUUAUUUUAAAUUCCGAUUCCCCUUUGAAACAGCCCUUUCGAUGAGGGAAGAAGCCAGCUCGGUUUCUGCGUGCGUGUUUAUGAUCUACCUGUGAGCGCGGCGCUCUGGAAGGUCACCCAGGCUGCGGACGCCCUGAUAGCGGGGUGACAGCCUGCAGGAUUCCCCAGCUGGUCACUUUCAUUCUUGGUGUGUGUGUGUGUGUGUGUGUGGUGUGUGUGUGUGUGUUUCUCUGUCUUCUCCUGUUUGCUGUUUGUCGCUGCUGUAUCUUUGCUUGUUACUGAAUUUUAAACAUAUGCUUAAUUGCCAGAGCCUUGGAUAGCUGCAGAAAUGACUGAAAAUAUUAAAUACAUCUGUGAGAUGGUGGGCAAGAGAAAUUAAAAAAGGUGCUCUCUGCAGUGAAUGUUAAAAAGAUCUCACAAUGCAGUGAUUAACAUUUUUAUGAAUAAAAUUAAUCACGCAUUAAACUCUGCAGCACAGUACAUCUGAAAGCCAAAUGUGGACCCGAAGCCCCCUUUCUUACACCUAAGAAUUUGGAGCCUUCCCUGGCCCACAGCAAGCAUUCAACCAUUAGGAAUUUCAGAGUAUUUAUGAGAAGAUAAGUCAAUAAGCGAUAUCUAAGUUUGAGCUACCCCCUCAAAAGAAAAACCCUCCAAAAAUGCCUCCACCUCCCUCUCCCCCUGCCCUCCUUAACACACAAACACAUGGCAACAUUAAAAAGCAACCAGUAAUUUUUAAAAUUUUUUUUUCUUUUAGCAAACUCUCAACCAAAGCAGGCCAUUUCCAUUCUCAGAUAUGCACGUGGGAUAUGUGGCCCUGGGUCAGGGAGGGCAGGCAGGGCUGAUACGAGAGGAGGGGCUGGAGUCCGCUUUUCCCUUCCUGACCCCCAUCCUGGGCCCGCUGUUCUGGCAAAGCUGAUCAGAUUGGAGGGUGGGUCUUCUGCAUUAUUAAAAUUUCCACUCUUCCAGAUAAUAAAGUGUGAUUUCUCCUCUCUCUGUCUCCCCUUCUGCCUCCUUUCUAAUCUCUUGCCACUGUGGUUUUGGGAUUAUUCCAGCAGGCUGUACAAAGGGAAGCGAAGGCAUCUGAAGUGUCACUCUACAGCUGUGCAAAGUAACAGCAUUUCCAUUUUGUUGAUGCUCCCAGCUCAUGUGCGCAGCAGAAGGUGAAAUCAAAGAAGCCGGUCCUCCUCAGUUGUGCACAUUAUUUUUCACUGCUGUGGCGAAUCUCUCCGAGCUCCGUGAACCAAUAAAACAACGGUCCCUGUUUGAGUUGAUAUAUUAAUAUUUACUGAGGAUUUGCAAGGUUGGGGUUAAAUGUCAGCAGAUUGCGGGGGCAGUCCUGUGGGGAAUAAUUAAACAAAUCUCACAGCAGUUCAGCUUCCUAACAUCUUUAUUAAUCUUUUUUCUCCUUCCCUCCUGAAAGAGUACAUUGAAAUAUUGCUUUUGCAACCUUAGAGAAGAUUCAGAAUAAGCUUAAUAAUAAAAUACUGCGUUGGCGAUGUGUGUACCUGAUGGUGUCCCGGACCCUUCCCUUCCAGGUGUUAGUGAGUGGGGGAGACUCUGAUGUGUGAGUCCUCACCAAGCUGUUGUGAUUCUCACCUGCUCUUCUAUCGAAUUUAUGGUGACCAAUUUGCCAAACACAAUAAGACUGUUCCUGUGAUUUGAUCCACGCCCUGGCUACGCCUGCACGGCCCACUCUGCUGAGCAAGGUGACUGCAGGCUGCUUGUUCUGAGGCCUGCCUUCUUUAACGUGAUUACAGCGUGCACUUUAGUACAAGUUCGACAAUUCUUUUUAAUAAGCUUCAUAAUUAGUGUUGGGAUGCCUCAUUACAAGUCAUAGCCUGUAGCGGUCCUAGGCCACACAGCCCUCUGCAAUCUGAUUUAUUUUUUAUCAGGCAGCAGGAGCUGUCUGGAGUUUUUGUUUGUAUAAUGGGGGCCUGCAUUAGGCCCCCAGUGUAAAAAUACCACCAGGAAAUUAAUUGCUUCUGUGUGGAUUCACCACAGAUGUGUCCUGUUGAUCAGAAUAGUGUAUUUUUGACUUUGCUGUCCUGCAGUGAAUUGUAAAAAAAUAAAAUGAAACCCAGCAAUGCAAACAUAUUAGCAUCCAUGUAGAUUCAGGAGGCAUCAUUGAAAACAUGGGGCUUCAAAGGAGGAUGUCCAGGGCAGGUUCGAGAUUCUGGUAAGACUUUUUUCCUUCCUUUCCCUUUUCUCACAGCUCUUAUUUGAUAAGAAACCCAUGUAUUUUUGUAUUGCCUGUAAAGGAAACCUCUCCAUGAAAAGCACAGGGCCAGAGUCUCAGUUGGUUUCUGGCUGAAAGAUUACUCACGAUAAAUACACCCCAGCAGAGUGGCUGAUUUCCCCGACACCCACCCCCGGCAUCGAGACCUCUGCAAGCUUCAGCAGACGAGGGCCUGUCUCCAGCGUGCCUCCCGGCCACCCCAGAGGGAACACAGGUGGAUGCUCGGCGGCCGGCCUUGUGGACUCUUCGAGGGUGGCGUGUGUGUGCCACAUAUUUCCCCGUCAGACCCUGGUUUCCCCUCAUUGCUCCCUGGGCUAAGACAGAAAUACAUGCCAAAGGCUUCCUUCCUUCCGUCUCUUUGCUCUUGCAUCACGCCACUUGCCCAGUUCCUGAAUUCUGAUUAGGUUGUGAAUUGCACCUCCAGCUUUGAACACUUACAGGAUUUUUUUUUUUCAAUCUUAGUCCCUGAAUUAGAAUGUGUUACUUCUGUGUUCUCUUCCCAGCACUGGACAGGUCGUUGUUGGUGCUUCCGUGUGGAUGGAUCACAUCCCGAGGGUGGACAUUUUGCUCCUGUAUUCCUUUGUUUGUUCUUUUUCAUCCAGGAGUUUUUAUCAUUCUCCUUGUCCUUCUCUUUUGAACUCUCCUGUGGUCAGCUGUCUGCUUUCCUUGCUCAGCACGGUGUUGGGAUGGGGUUUGUAAAUUUAAUUUCAGAUAACAUCUUGUUUGUGAAAAAAAGAAAACUAAAGAUCAGUGUAACAAUAAUAGUGAAGCAUAUGGAAUAAAACUAAAGAUCAGUGUAACAAUAAUAGCGAAGCAUAUGGAAUUGUGAAGGAAAAUAAAUAGGUUUAGUAUACACAAGAACAUAUUGCUCUGAUGGUUUUAUUUUAUUUUAUAUUUGUUUUUUCUCUGACUUUAAAUGCUCCUAAAGACACAUUUGGCAUUUUUGCGCCAGUAGCAAGGAUGUGCAGAGAUGUAUUGGUGGAAGAAUUCUAGUGGUUCCCUAUUAAAAUUCUAUAACUUGCCGUAUUACCAGUAAACGUGAGCUGCCAGAGCCUACAGGUAGGCAAGGGCUCCCAGAAGGAGAGGCAUGAGGAAACCUUGCCAAGAAGGCAGGGGAAGCCCCAGUGGUCACUCCCACAUGGCAUUCAGACGGAGGGUCCUCCAGCAUCGUGGGCUCAAGAGUUGUCCAAGUGUGUGUUCGUGUGUGUGUGGUGUGUGUGUGAGAGAGAGAGAGAGCACGCUAGCUCUCAGGAUGGGGAUGUUGGGGAGGAGGCCUAGAACUGGGUUUCUCCCUCUGUGUAAUCUACUCUCUCUUUAUCCUCCUCCCAGAUACCUCUCACCCUCGGGAGAAGACUCUUAGAGAAGCUUGUUACAAAUGCAUAUUCCUCAGCCACCCCCUCCUGAAUUCCUGUUUCAGCAGGAGUGGAGUGGGCCCAGGAAUGUGCAUUUUAAAUCAGGAUCAUUCUGAAGCUGAAGGUGUAGCCUAGGCUUCGACCCUAAGCUGCGUUAAAUGACUUCUUGCUAGAGAAGACCCCACUAAAAGAGUCCAGUGUCACCCGCCCUGGUUUAUUAACACUUGAACUGGGAUGGGAAGGUUUUAACUUAUUGCAGAGCCAAACAAAUUAAUCUUUAAUGGUGAGCAUUGCUUCUGCUCACCAAGGGAGGGGACCUCUGGGAGCUCUCUGCAGUGCUCCCCUGGCCAGCUCCUGGGGGAGGGGCCUGGUCACUGUGAACACAUUCUGGUUGUGCAGAACCCACGGCGACAACAGAUCUUCGCUGAUGUCCUACUGUGUCCAUGGACGUCAGGGCCAUUUAUCAAUUCCCAGCAGUUAAAAAGGGGAUAAUGAAAUGUUGCCUGAUCCCCAACUUAUAGCUGGAACCGAAAUGCAUGGCAGAUUCAUUUGUCAGCCAGCAGCAGCGGUGGCAUUUUGGGCUCUGUAUUCUAGGGACAGUUCAUUCCAAGGGUCUUCUCUGCAAUGGAGGGCCGCUGAUUAUUUGUGACAUAAUUAACCUUUACUCAUGCACAUUUUCCUUUUUACUAUUCAUGCAGUUGCUAAUUCCAAAAGUAGAUGGCAGUUGUCCAAGACGUAAUGAAAUGGAUGCCGUGAGUGAGAGUCUCUCAUUUGGUGAACGAGGCUGCGGACCCUUGAUAGAAAGUCCACAUUGAAGGAAGCCCCCAGUGAAAGGAAUAAUAAAAUAAUUGUAAUAAUAAAAUACUGGGGAAUAACAAAAUGUUGUUGAGUACAGUGUUGUGAAUGAGACCUGAGUGCUGACCCCAGGUGGCCUCCAAGGUAGGACAAGGAACACAAAACCCAGGAGACCUUUCCAGGGAAAAAAAGCAAAAAGAUCACCACACCCAAGACACUUGCUUUCCUCUUCAUUUUUCCUCCCUCUGUCACCCACGUAGAAAAAUAAAGAUAGAAAAGAGUUUCUUAGCCAAGUUUGAAACCAGCCUAAUUUACAUGGACUGAUGUUCAUUUUAUCUUGGGCAAUACUUCUAAGAAGGAAGAUUUUUUUUGACUUUGUUAAGAAAGGUGGCUGGGCACAAGGGCUCACGCCUGUAAUCUCAGCACUUUGGGAGGCCAAGGCAGGCAUAUCACUUGAGCCGAGGCGGACGUUUUUGAGAUCAGCCUGGGCAACAUGGUGAAACCUCGUCUCUACUAAAAAUAUAAAAAUUAGCAGGGCAUGGUGGUGCAUGCCAGUAAUUCCAGCUACUUGGGAGGUUGAGGCAGGAGAAUCCCUUGAACCUGGGAGGUACAGGUUGCAGUGAGCCCAGAUAGCCCCACUGCACUCCAGCCUGGGUGACAGAGGGAGACUCCAUCUCAAAAAAAAAAAAAAAAAAAAAAAAAAAGACUCUUCUAAUCAAAUCAAGAGAAAUGUAAGGAAAUACAUAGAUGUGGUCAGGACCAUGUAUUUUUAGUAGAGACAGGGUUUCGCCAUGUUUGCCAGGUUGGUCUCGAUCCCCUGACCUCAAAACAUCUAAACUCUCUCCAUGGUUUUCUGACUUUCCAUGUUGUAACUUAUGCCUAUAUUUAAAUACUAUUUUGUUAUUUUAUAAGAUGCCAUGUUUAUAUGGAGGUUGCAGAGAGCCAAGAUCACACAACUACAUUCCAGCCUGGGUGAGAGAGCAAGACUCUGUCUCAAAAAAAAGAAAAAGAAAGGCCCUCCAAACAUUUUGGGCAUCAAAUAUCUGUUAAAAGCAAACAUUUUGAUAAGGUGAGUAUAAAUGAAAAAGAAACAUAUGGCUUUGAUUUUUUUUGAGAAGCUUACUUUGAACCCCAAAUAUUUUUGGAAAGUUCGAGGUGUUCAAACACUGUGCAAUUGGGUACACCCAUCCAUAAUUUUAAGGGGCUGAAUUCAAUGCACAUGUUUUGGAUAUAUUUACAAUUACCAGAGUCAACUGUUCAUUCUGGAUAGCUUUUGAUGUGGAAGAAUUCCUCUGGGGCUUUAACAAUCACUCUGCAAUCUCUUUUCCCUUUUGGAAGUAGAAGGGUGUAACUUCCCAGAGUUGCAUAACCUCCUCGUCCCUCACAUUGCAUACUGACUCCAGCCUCUUGGCUGCUAAGUGCUAGGGAGUAUCAAAGUUGCAGAAAUGCCUUAUCCAUGGUAGGAAGAUGUUACUGUUGGAGGGAGAGUCCAGAGCUCAUCAGUGCAGGUCAUGACUUGUGACUCUUAGGUAGGAAUGAGAGUGAGCCCUUGUUCUCAUUCCCUGCCUUCCACCUCCUGAAGGGCUCAGAUACAGGCAAGUUCUCUGGAAUUUCCGCUCGUGGAUGAGUUUUACCGAUGACAUUUUAAUUUCAAUGAGUCAAAAAUCAGUGCUGUGGCAUGUGUUAUGUAAAAGCAGUUCAUAUUUUAGAAAGUUAAAGCCUAUCUCCCAGCCCUGAAGAGAUGUCUUUAAAAUGACUUCCCACGGGUGUCAACACAUGUACGCAGGCAGAUAGAGGAGAACGUAUCUUAGUCCUGACUUAGGAUCAUUAAAAUUCCUGAACCUUAAGGAACAAUUGUGGGGUGCCAGGCAUUCUUUGUAGUUGACACGGAGUAAUGGAUCUGGUGAGGCUGGAGUUACUAUUCAUGUAAUUUUAAGGCUUGUGGGACUGGGACACAGAAGUCACCUCGGAAGCUCGAGGUCUAUUGCCUCUGAAUAUAACCCCCUGCCCCUGGCCCAAUGGCAUGGGAGGAGGAGGGGCUCUUGCCAUGCCUGCCUGGUGUGUGACGGUGUGGCUGUCUUUCUGAGCCUUGAAGGGCUGUGGGAGCUCCCCUGCCAUGGGAGCCUCUGUGUGCCUUGCUCCCUGAUGGCCCUCUGUGGCCCUCAGCCCCUGCCAUUGCUUCACUAACGCCUAGGGAUGGGGCUGAUCUGUUGCAAUAUUUUCCUUUUAAAAUUGGGCUGCAAUUUUCUCAAUUUUCUCUCAUCAAUAGGCAAUACUAUUUCUUUUCUUAAUGAUGUCUUUUCACACCAGAAUAAAACAGGCCGGCGUAUCGUUAGCAACCUUCUUUUUGUAGGAGAAAAGCGCUUGUUUCUCCAUUGCCACAGACAUCUGAGUUCUAUGUAAAACAGGUGUCCACGGUUCUCAGAACUUGCAGUUGGUUCCAUCUUCCUGGUUCUCCAGUUCUCCCUUCCAUUGACAGUGAAGAUCCUGGUUACUCCUGUAUUGCCACCCCCCGCCCGGUGUGUACGGGAUGGAAGAGGAGACCCACACUGCCGUGGCAUGCAGAGGGCUGCCAAUGCACACAUUUCCUGUGUUCCUCUGAGUGUCACAGUGAGCCCUUGCGGGGGACACUCCCACACUGGGAGAGCAGCCAGGGCCCUGUGUACCCCCACCGGCAAGGGCUGAGCCAUCUUCUGCCUCCAUGGGUGGGUAAAUGGGAUGCCCUCGGCCUUCAGGACUGAAAGUCCAGUGGGCCUCACAGGAUGCUCUACCUACAGGGCUCAGGCUCGGGAGCCUCGAGAAAACAGCCCAGGCUUUGCAUCAGACCACGGUGCCAUCCAGGGCCUUGGUCCUGCCUUUCUCUUGGCUUCUUUAUUUGUGUAGUUGGACCACUGAGAUUUUAACCUCUUCUAGAAAUGCACAUUUAAAAUAAUAUGAUACUUAUAAUUCCUCUCAAGUAAGAUGCUGAGCAAAUUUUAGGCUAUCCAUGAAUGCCGAUUUCCUUUCUCCUCUGUACACAAGAGAGAGAGAAGAAAUAUGUUGUUUGUUCUGACUUCCCUGGAGAUGCAUACACUUUAUUUAACAGGAUUUUCAGGGGCUAGUGAUGGUAUUUGCUGGAUCUUUAGAAUUAAAUGUCAACUCACAACGAUGACCACAUAGCUUCUUUUGCUUUCUGUUUUCUUUCUUUUUUUUUUCUGAGACGGGGUCUCACUGUCACCCAGGCUGCAGUGCAGUGGCACAAUCUUAGCUCACUACAAUCUCAAGUGAUCUUCCUGCUUCAGCUUCCUGAGUAGCUGGUGCACACCACCAUACACAGCUCAUUUUAAAAUUUUUUCUUACAGACAUGGGGUCUCACUAUGUUGCCCAGGCUUGUCUCAAACUCCUGGACUGCAGCGACUCUCACGCCUUGGCCUCCCAAAGUGCUGAGAUGACAGGCAUGAGCCGCCACGCUGGCCUAGGUCAUUCUUUAUAGGCAGAUGCACCUGCUUCUUCAUAUUCAUGCCUUUGAUGCCUCCUCUCUCGGUGACUCAGAAGCAAACACAGAUGAAACCCCUACAUCAUGUGCACAGGCCAGACAUGCAUAUUCAUUACAUUUUUCAAAGUUCUUUAUGAGUGGGAUUUCCUGUAGUACCUGAGGACCAUCUUGAUUUACUUUAAUUCUGGGUCUCAUGUUCAGGUUCCCCCACCUUUUUCUGGUUUUGUGACUUAUGUCUCAUCAGGGCUCCUAAUGCAGGAGAAGGGCUGAGUGUUUGCUGCUGAUGGUUUGGGAUAGUGUGUCUGCUCAGCAUGGGAAGGAGAAGGCUAAGAUGACACCAUUGGCUGUUUUAGGGUCGUCUCAUGAGGAGUUAGCAGAUUUUUCCUCUUUUACUAAGAGGCUGGAAGGAGUACUGCUGUGGAGAGAAGUCCAGGAAGAAAUCAGCUCAUCUAAGGAAGAGUGUUCUAACGAGAGAGGCUCAGAGGGAAGGUGUUAGGAGUUUCCAGAAAUGACCCAAGGAGGAGUCAUUCCAGAAGAUGGAAAGCAUUUGCUAUGGUGUUGUGGAGGGCAUUUUUCCACUGGGAUGAUUUGGACUUUUUGACAGCUUCCGGUUUCUUCUGAUUCUCAGAGGCUGUGAAUUCAUGAUAGAAGCAGCCUUUUUGCAUUCUUUAGGUCUUCAUCAUCAAAAUUGCUUGUGUGUGUGUGUUUCUGUUUACCCAGGUAAGUUUCUAGCCUUUUCGUUCCCUAGUGUUGCUAUGCUAACCCUGCAGUGUGUCCUACAUCCUUGAGGACAGGACCUGGGAUGCCACCAACACUGUCCCCCAGAACUUGUCCUUGAUGUUCUGAUGCAAACCCAGAGGAACAGCUGUCCAGCUCCAGCCUGAUUUACAUACACAACCCAGGUGCCCUUUGGGGAGCCACACAAAAGAGAAAGCAAAGGUGAGUGAGUCAGGGUUUGGGGAAGAAAAGGCACUCAGCAGCCGAGAGGCAAAAAGCAGAGGAGCCAGUGUCUUUCAGUGGUUUGCAUCUAUCUCUUUGUGUCUCUCCCCAAAGUUUCUGAGGCUCCCCACACCCCAGGAAGGGCAUCUCUGAGAGUGUCCUUCUGGUGACAAGGCUCUGUGGGAGCAGCGAGGGGCAGAAAGGCUCACGUAGAAAAGGAGGAGGCAUGGCUGCCCCAGAUCGCUCUGGAGACUGAAGGUGCAAUCGCCAUGGAUAUGACAUCCACCCUCGUGAUUGUGGUCGGGUUUUGUCUAUGAUGUGAGGGAUCUAACGAUGCUUCUGAAUGGCUGCAAACAUGUGCCAUGUUCCCACUGAACGGGCUUCCUUCUCGCAGUAUUUUCCUUACCUGGCCCUUUGCAAGAACAUUCUACACGGAUUUCCCUGAAUUUGAAAUCUGAGCUCAUGACUUUAGAGACAGUGCUGGCUGACUUCAUUCCAGGAGGACUGAGCUCUUCCAUUUUCCGACAGACAUGGUGCAUUCUGUGGUCACUUUCCAAGAGCCCGUGGUGGGUUGUCCUGUUUCUGUUGGUGGGAAACAAGUUAAACACAAUUUGCUAUUUGCCUUUCACCCCUCAGUUCAUCAUGAGAUCAUUAGUCGGCUGAGUGACUGCUGUCCCCCAGGGGCUGGGAGAGAGGGGGUCUUGAGGGAGUUACUGGUGAUACUGCAUGCCUGUGGGUUGGGGGAUCAUAUCCUAUUUUUAUCAGAUGGAAUAUGCUGGACCAGAAAAAAGAACCACUGGGAACUGUGUUCUUCCAACUUUGGUUUCAGAUCCCUCUAGUUAAUGCCAUCCAUGAAAACAAUUAACUUCUCUAUAUUUCAGGAUCCAGGCAGGACCUUGUAGGAAUCUUAUUUAAUUAUGUGCUAUAUUAAUGUUAUAUUGAUUAUGUUAUUGCCUGUAAAUCCAGUUGCUUAAUAAAGCUGCAGUCAUUUUGCAAUAAA